rnacentral:rRNA from 1 species
AUUGAACGCUGGCGGCAGGCCUAACACAUGCAAGUCGAGCGGAGCGGCGGACGGGUGAGUAAUGCCUAGGAAUCUGCCUGGUAGUGGGGGAUAACGUCCGGAAACGGGCGCUAAUACCGCAUACUAUCAGAUGAGCCUAGGUCGGAUUAGCUAGUUGGUGGGGUAAAGGCCUACCAAGGGGACGAUCCGUACCUGGGCUGAGAGGAUGAUCAGUCACACGGGAAUUGAGACACGGUCCAGACUCCUACGGGAGGCAGCAUUGGGUAAUAUUGGCCAAGGGGCGAAAGCCUGAUCCAUCCAGGCCGCGUGUGUGAAGAAGGUCGUCGGAUUGUAAAGCACUUUAAGUUGGGAGGCGUUACCAACAGAAUAAGCACCGGCUAACUUCGUGCCAGCCGCCGCGGUAAUAC